rnacentral:rRNA from 1 species
GAUGAACGCUGGCGGCGUGCCUAAUACAUGCAAGUCGAGCGAACAGACGAGGAGCUUGCUCCUCUGACGUUAGCGGCGGACGGGUGAGUAACACGUGGAUAACCUACCUAUAAGACUGGGAUAACUUCGGGAAACCGGAGCUAAUACCGGAUAAUAUAUUGAACCGCAUGGUUCAAUAGUGAAAGACGGUUUUGCUGUCACUUAUAGAUGGAUCCGCGCCGCAUUAGCUAGUUGGUAAGGUAACGGCUUACCAAGGCAACGAUGCGUAGCCGACCUGAGAGGGUGAUCGGCCACACUGGAACUGAGACACGGUCCAGACUCCUACGAGAGGCAGCAGUAGGGAAUCUUCCGCAAUGGGCGAAAGCUUGACGGAGCAACGCCGCGUGAGUGAUGAAGGUCUUCGGAUCGUAAAACUCUGUUAUUAGGGAAGAACAAAUGUGUAAGUAACUACGCACGUCUUGACGGUACCUAAUCAGAAAGCCACGGCUAACUACGUG